AAAAAAGUUGAGGCCAAGUCUUACAAAGAAAAGGUCAAGUGCACAAAGGUGUGAAAGCUCCUGGAGGAGCCAAGGUAUUACUGGCCACAGCAGCUCAGUGAGCCAAACUGAAAGCCAGCACGCAGACUUGACGUCAUCCAUUGACUCUUGGUAUUUUGAAGGGACAGGAUGAGCUAAAGAAAUUAGUCUUGGUUAUUUACCAGUCUGUAAUUUAUUAGGCUGUAUCAUAGGCAGAGCUCCUCCUUUCAGAAUGAGAGCUGGAAAGUUGAUGUUUCUCAUUUUGGAUGCUUAGACUGGGUGUAGAUACAGUUAUGCAGUAUUUCAUUUUUUAAAAAAAAAAAAAAAGUUUUCCCGGGGAAGUGAAAGGCAGAAUAUGCACCCUUAAGACUGCAGUUUUGAGCCUUCAAGCGGAUGUUCAUUUAGGUAAUUGGGGAUUGGUUACUGGGGAUAAGAAAAACUUGCUGGGCUGGAAAGAACUUCCAAAUUCUGGAAAAUUAAAGUGUUUUUUUUUUAUAUUUGUUUUGCUAUGCCUUAUUUUGUUUGCUUGUUUUGUUUUGUUUUAAUUUUAAUUCCUAAUGAUAUGAUACUUUGAGCUUAAUGAUAUUUAAUGAAAGAAACUAGUUCAAAAAAUUCACAAAUAACCCACAAUGAUUUGCUUUGCCAAGGACUAUCUUUCCUGUCCUCUUACCAUCACAAAUUCAUUUACAAACUGUGAGUGAGUAGAAAAAAACAUUUCCAAGAACUGCUCUGACCUUUGUUCUCCAGAUUCCUGGUAAAAACCUGUCUAAAUCCUCCAGACCAAUGCAGGCUCCAUCCCCCAGUGAUGCUUACAUAACAUGAGGUGGAGUUCUGGCCCAAAACUUCAGCUUUUUUGCUAUGGUCCCAGGGAAAUCGAUUCAGAUCUUGAAGUCCAGCUGAACUCCACCCAAAUGGCCUGUCGGUUUUGCUGUCACUUGCUUCUUUUACUGUCAUGGGAAGCAUUCAGAGGAUGAAAAAAAAAAUGGAGAAAAGAAAAACAAAUGGGGAAGAAAGACUCCAUUUUUGCUUGAGAUCAGAAGAAGAAAUAAAGAAGGAUUUGAAUACAAAAAUGCUGAAAUAUUCCCUUUUAAAGGAAGAGUAUUUUCAUUUUUGAAGAUGUUUGUAAGGAAGAAAAGCACAUUAAUUCUGUAUCCAAGACACCCAUGCAGGGGAGGGUGAACAUAGCACAGGGCCUGGCAGACACCUACCUGGAACAGAAACAUCAGAUGGGACCCUCCUGAACAUCUCAAAUGAAGAUUCUACAUAUCGAUACAGACGCUUAAGCUGAGAUCACAGUGAUGCCAAUUUCCACACCUGUCCCACAUACUGCCCCCUAUAUUUUGACACAUGAAUUUGCAAGAUGAAUUCCUGCCUGAAGGAUUAAUUCAAUUCCCUGAGCACAAUGCAUUAAUUGUUACUGAAAAUGACUUGGGUUCUCUUGCCUGACCUCCAGCUGCAGUUUGGGGAAGCACAGCUCUCUUGUAAAUCCUGUGUCAGUAUUGAAGACCACAACUUUCUUUGUAAGAAAGCAAAUAUCUUCUUUUUCUUCACCCAGUGUGCUCAAAGAGUACUGGAUUCUGAAAACUUUUAUAGGAAUAUCUUUGGUAUAGAUCAGAAAACUGGUAUAUUCCUGCUUUUACUUAUUUCCCAUUAGAAUCUUUUUUUAACUGUUUAAGAUAUCAGAAGAUGGGCUUCUUUCUGAUGACUCUCAGGAGACCAAAAAUAAGUUUAUGAUCCUGUGUGUAUUGCACUUUUGUUUAAUGAUAGUCACCCAUGGAACAAUCUGGGAACCUAAAAUUCGGUGUCUUGUGAUAUCUGAGGCACCUUUUGAUACUCAAGAUAUCUACACAGGGCUAAAAGAUGUGACACAAGACCAAGGGGAAACACAUGAUCAUCUAAGUUUGUAACUGGAGACCGAGUGGGAUAACUUUAGUCAUCUAAAAUAUAAUUAGAUUUCUGUGACUAGAUAGAUGAGUCAUUUCUGAGUAGAUGAAGAAGUUUUUUAUAGCUUGUGUUUUGCAGAUGGAGAGGAAAGGCCAAGGCAAAAGCCACAUCCAGCAUCAGCAAUGAAUUUUCUGGUAAAGUCAGGUGUCAAAUACAGAGCACUGGAGUCUCUCAGUUGUGGUUUGGCCAAGGUUUUGAGGCUGAAUUGUAUAUCCCAAGCACAAAAAAAGUUGUGCUCAGGUUACUGGCAAUAGAUCUUCAUUCCUACUCAGAAAAAGGGUCGUGUUCAGUCCAGUUCUGUAAGUGCCUUAUGCCUCACCAUAGUUUCCUCUGUUGGUUGUGCAGGGAUCAGAGUCAGGGAGACUCAUCUUGACAUAGAGCCAUGAAUCCCUAUCUAAAAUCUAAGAUAUUAUGACAGAUGUCUAAAUUUACCUUCGGUACUGUGGUGAGUGGCCUGAAUAGGGAUUACAGAUCACAGCUUGACUAAUAUAUCCUACAGAAAUGUUGAUUAUCUCCUUACAGAGAUGUUCAUGUGGGUCCCUACAAUUUUGGGGUUAGUGAUUAACCUUCAUCAUGAUAUUCCCUGUAAUUAGGAUCCAAUACAUGUCUAGCCUCAGGAAUAUCUGGGAAAUAGUGUGGUCAGAGUAAUUGCAAAGGCAUUUUUAGAGGUUUUAGUAAGGGCCACUGUAUAAAACUUUCCUCUGUUGCUAAUUUUGGCUUGCUAUAUUUUCUCAAUUUCUUUAUAAAGAAAGCAGUUCUAAAUGGCUUAUUUUCUGCCUUGCCUCCCUUUCCUGACCUCUCUCUUAUUAAAAUCUUAUUAAAAAUUUAAAAAAUC